UAGAAAGAUAUCAAUUUCCCUCCCUGCUAAUGCUCAGGACUCAGACCUUCGGAGAGCAAAUCCUCCGAGCCCACCGGUGUUAAAUAAACAGCCGAUCCGCCAAAGUCUCCCAGGCCGCUUGGUUCUUCCGCCAGGAUCCAGUCCGGGUGCCGUAACACAUAAUCCUUUUAAGCCCCGUGUCAUGCAGUGAGACCUGCUUUUGUUAAAAUGAGAUAAUAUGAUAUGGAAAUCCACUUGAGUACUAUGAUGCUUGGGUCCUGAUCUCAGGGUGAGAUCUUGCUCUUCCAGCCCUACCAAACAUCUUGAGACUGGACUUCUAUUUCAACUCCCUCUCUGCUGGAAAUAUCCUGAAUGCUUCCCAUGCUUCUUACUGGAAUCUGACGGAUACAGAAGAAACAAUACAUCAGGCCCCUCUCCCUGGAAGACAAGCUGGAAGAACAAGAGGACAACAACCCAAGGGUCGUCAUAAAACUGUACAACCCCAACACCAGGGGAAAAUAGUAUAUUAAGUUCCUGGUAUUGCCUCAUGGCCUGUUUAUUUCUUAGAUUUGACUUUUCUUUUCUUUUUAUAA